rfam:Sphingomonas koreensis strain ABOJV, complete genome.
GCAAUGGGGGCGGCGAUCCCCCCAUGAGGCGUCAGCCGAAGUGUCGCGUCCGCAACGUUCGAAGGACGCACCAUG